UGGGACAGGGUGAAGAAGAUGAGACCAGAACAGAAGGAACCCAGACGUGAUGAACAGCUCCAGGAUCAGAGAAGACAUGAGUGAAGCGACAUGGACAUGGAUGACAUGGAAGAACAUGGUGCACUGAUAAUCUAAAUGCUACAGUGGCUUCAAUAUGUUGUUAGUGAUGUGAACAGUAACAAAGUUAACCAAAAGGAAUAAAAAUGGCUUUAAUGAUACUGUGCUUUUUCCAUUCAGUAUCUAGUUUAUAGCCGUGUAAAGAAAUGUGCUUAUUUAUCACAGAAUUAAUGGUAAGGGUAUAUCUGUGUGUAUAACUAAUGAAAGUUAGCCUCAUGGAGUAAAAUGACUUUUAAAGAUAUUAUAAUAUAUACAGUAAUAUUGUUGCCAUGAUUUUUGUCAGAUUGAAUGCAAGUUUGAUUUGCUUUUGUUCUUCUGGGCUUUCAGGGAAACUCUACGAUCUCAAGUGAUAAGAAGGACCCCAGAGGAGCCACAGAAUGAGAAACAAGAUGAGGAAAAGCCCCAGGACACAACAAAGAAGAGGAAACAGGCCGGGGAAGAGCAACAAGAUGAAGGAAGAUGAAUGGAAGAGCACAGUGAGACAUAAAAGUAGUAAUGAACUGACUCAAUUUCUUAACUGACUUGACUUCUGAGUCGAGAUGCAGUGAGUUGGUGGCAACUUCCGAUGUGCAGAUCUGUGAGGAGCAUCCCAAACCCACCAGCACAGAAGAAGUGAAUGGAAACAACAGCAUCCCCUGUGCUGGUCGGGCCCGAUCUGUCUGGACAGGUGUAGAGGGUGGGGUCAGGGGUUGCUGUAUAGAACAGAAAUAGGACAGAAUAUGAGAAUUUUCUAACUACUCAACUACUUAUUUUUACAAUCACAGUUCCAAAAUGAUUGGGACACUGUGCAAAACAAAACAGAAUGUGAUCAUUUGUUAAUCCUUUUUGACAUAUAUUCAGUUGAAAACAGCACAAAGGCAAUACAACCGCACCACCCUCCAGAUGGUCCUGCAGUAAUCCCUGUCAUCUGGUCCAUAUCUUUGUGCUUGUGGAGAUCCAAGGCUUGCACUUCUCAGGUCAGCAUCUGUGGAAACAAAAAAAAAAAAAAGAAAAAACGGAAACUACAAAAACAAAACAACAAAAAAACAACAAAAA